GAGUACAGUAGAGGUGGGCGGAAUUCGUGGUGUAGCGGUGAAAUGCUUAGAUAUCACGAAGAACUCCGAUUGCGAAGGCAGCUCACUGGACUGCAACUGACACUGAUGCUCGAAAGUGUGGGUAUCAAACAGGAUUAGAUACCCUGGUAGUCCACACAGUAAACGAUGAAUACUCGCUGUUUGCGAUAUACAGUAAGCGGCCAAGCGAAAGCAUUAGGUAUUCCACCUGGGGAGUACGCCGGCAACGGUGAAACUCAAAGGAAUUGACGGGGGCCCGCACAAGCGGAGGAACAUGUGGUUUAAUUCGAUGAUACGCGAGGAACCUUACCCGGGCUUAAAUUGCAGUGGAAUGAUGUGGAAACAUGUCAGUGAGCAAUCACCGCUGUGAAGGUGCUGCAUGGUUGUCGUCAGCUCGUGCCGUGAGGUGUCGGCUUAAGUGCCAUAACGAGCGCAACCCUUAUCUUCAGUUACUAACAGGUCAUGCUGAGGACUCUGGAGAGACUGCCGUCGUAAGAUGUGAGGAAGGUGGGGAUGACGUCAAAUCAGCACGGCCCUUACGUCCGGGGCUACACACGUGUUACAAUGGGGGGUACAGAAGGCAGCUAGCGGGUGACCGUAUGCUAAUCCCAAAAUCCUCUCUCAGUUCGGAUCGAAGUCUGCAACCCGACUUCGUGAAGCUGGAUUCGCUAGUAAUCGCGCAUCAGCCACGGCGCGGUGAAUACGUUCCCGGGCCUUGUACACACCGCCCGUCAAGCCAUGGGAGCCGGNNNUACCUGAAGUACGUAACCGCAAGGAUCGUCCUAGGGUAAAACUGGUGACUGGGGCUAAGUCGUAACAAGGUAAA
rnacentral:rRNA from 1 species